GUAGUCCACGCCGUAAACGGUGGGCGCUAGGUGUGGGCAACAUUCCACGUUGUCUGUGCCGCAGCUAACGCAUUAAGCGCCCCGCCUGGGGAGUACGGCCGCAAGGCUGAAACUCAAAGGAAUUGACGGGGGCCCGCACAAGCGGCGGAGCAUGUGGCUUAAUUCGAUGCAACGCGAAGAACCUUACCUGGGUUUGACAUGCAGGGAAAUCUCGUAGAGAUACGGGGUCCGCAAGGGCCUUGCACAGGUGGUGCAUGGCUGUCGUCAGCUCGUGUCGUGAGAUGUUGGGUUAAGUCCCGCAACGAGCGCAACCCUCGUCCUAUGUUGCCAGCGAGUCAUGUCGGGGACUCAUAGGAGACUGCCGGGGUCAACUCGGAGGAAGGUGGGGAUGACGUCAAGUCAUCAUGCCCCUUAUGUCCAGGGCUGCACACAUGCUACAAUGGCCGGUACAAAGGGCUGCUAAGCCGUGAGGUGGAGCGAAUCCCAAAAAGCCGGUCUCAGUUCGGAUCGGGGUCUGCAACUCGACCCCGUGAAGUCGGAGUCGCUAGUAAUCGCAGAUCAGCAACGCUGCGGUGAAUACGUUCCCGGGCCUUGUACACACCGCCCGUCACGUCACGAAAGUCGGUAACACCCGAAGCCGGUGGCCCAACCCAUUCGUGGGGGGGAGCCGUCGAAGGUGGGAUCGGCGAUUGGGACG
rnacentral:rRNA from 1 species